CUUAUAUUCUGUAGCAAGGUUAACCGUAUAGGGGAGCCGAAGGGAAACCGAGUCUUAACUGGGCGUUAAGUUGCAGGGUAUAGACCCGAAACCCGGUGAUCUAGCCAUGGGCAGGUUGAAGGUUGGGUAACACUAACUGGAGGACCGAACCGACUAAUGUUGAAAAAUUAGCGGAUGACUUGUGGCUGGGGGUGAAAGGCCAAUCAAACCGGGAGAUAGCUGGUUCUCCCCGAAAGCUAUUUAGGUAGCGCCUCGUGAACUCAUCUUCGGGGGUAGAGCACUGUUUCGGCUAGGGGGUCAUCCCGACUUACCAACCCGAUGCAAACUGCGAAUACCGAAGAAUGUUAUCACGGGAGACACACGGCGGGUGCUAACGUCCGUCGUGAAGAGGGAAACAACCCAGACCGCCAGCUAAGGUCCCAAAGUCACAGUUAAGUGGGAAACGAUGUGGGAAGGCUCAGACAGCCAGGAUGUUGGCUUAGAAGCAGCCAUCAUUUAAAGAAAGCGUAAUAGCUCACUGGUCGAGUCGGCCUGCGCGGAAGAUGUAACGGGGCUAAACUGUGCACCGAAGCUGCGGCAGCGACGCUUAUGCGUUGUUGGGUAGGGGAGCGUUCUGUAAGCCUGCGAAGGUGUCCUGUGAGGGAUGCUGGAGGUAUCAGAAGUGCGAAUGCUGACAUAAGUAACGAUAAUGCGGGUGAAAAGCCCGCUCGCCGGAAGACCAAGGGUUCCUGUCCAACGUUAAUCGGGGCAGGGUGAGUCGACCCCUAAGGCGAGGCCGAAAGGCGUAGUCGAUGGGAAACGGGUUAAUAUUCCCGUACUUGGUGUUACUGCGAAGGGGGGACGGAGAAGGCUAUGUUGGCCGGGCGACGGUUGUCCCGGUUUAAGCGUGUAGGUGUGUGUUCCAGGUAAAUCCGGUUCACUUUAACACUGAGGCGUGAUGACGAGGCACUACGGUGCUGAAGCAACAAAUGCCCUGCUUCCAGGAAAAGCCUCUAAGCAUCAGGUAACAUCAAAUCGUACCCCAAACCGACACAGGUGGUCAGGUAGAGAAUACCAAGGCGCUUGAGAGAACUCGGGUGAAGGAACUAGGCAAAAUGGUGCCGUAACUUCGGGAGAAGGCACGCUGACACGUAGGUGAAGU
rnacentral:rRNA from 1 species